CUCUCUCUCUGAAAAUAAAUAAGCAUUAAAAAAAUAAAAUUCUGUGGGUACCAACACAGAAAUUAUGGAUGCAAGAUUAAUCUGAAUUUUGCUACACACUUUGGAAAGCAUGAAGUUCUCAUUACACGUAACUGAUUUUUGAAGUCUUACCAGAUGUCCAUCUCAACCCAUCAACAACAGCUUGCAGAUAUUUUCUAAGAUCAGAGGAUCUCAGGAAAGUCCCUGUGACAGUGAAAACCUGGUACUGAUUGUUGAUGGGUCCAUCUUCACCACCAGCAUGAAGCUCUCAAAGGUAUAUAGAUUUCUUUUUUAUUUUUGUAGGAACCGCACUUACUGGUCCCUAAAAUGCAUAUAUUUAACCCAUGGCCACUUUGGUGGUUAGAUUGGGAUAUGGUUCAUCCUUAUCAAGAGUGAAUACAAAUCCAUAAUAACCUUCCACUUGAAGAUAGGUAACUCUUCUUGGAGAGAAGACUUUGCCUUGGUCCAACACUGAUAAAAAUGAAAAUAUGUUAAAAAUUGGACCAACCAUAUGUUUAUCUUUCCACUAAACCAUAUUUUCCUUGCAUACACAGCUAUCACAAGAGAGGAAGAGAAUGGGGAGAAAAUUGAAAUUUACACCAGCAUGGUUGAGCC
rnacentral:lncRNA from 1 species